GGAUUGGUUACGACCCAGCAAAGACUCUGGUCUGAACAGCCAAGGGAUACAGGAUCUCACCCAAUCUGACCAGAGGGCUGACUCCCAUUUACCUGAAAGGGAAACCAGGAGUAUAGCUGCAUCAUCAUGGAUACAGGUACUUGUCCCAGUGAACCUAGCAGUGUUCCUCAAUGCAGGUGCUGGUGGGAAUGUAUGAAGAGGCCCCUGGGAAUUCAAGGAAAAGUGAAAAUCCAUCAUUCCCUGAAGAAACUCUGCCACACUCCAGUCUACCCACAUUUUUCUUUUAUGGCUUUAUACCCAUUGAAGCUUCUGGAAGAAGGCACUGGAGGACACAUCUGUGAAUCAGUGCGGCCCUUCAAACUCGUUGUUCCUGUUACCUGCAGAGGUGCACGCCUUCAGGCUCUGAAAACAGCUGCAGCUGUCCGAGGUUUGCAGUUACUUUGAAGCAUUAUGACAAAACUAUACUUGCUAAAUUAUCCUGGUAAAUACAGCCUCCAUGGCAUCAGAAGAAAAGUCCAAAAAACCAAGUCUCUUGCAAUGCAUUACGGUCACGGCUCAUCUGACUUCCUC